AUUGAACGCUGGCGGCAUGCUUUACACAUGCAAGUCGAACGGCAGCACGGGCUUCGGCCUGGUGGCGAGUGGCGAACGGGUGAGUAAUAUAUCGGAACGUACCCAAGAGUGGGGGAUAACGUAGCGAAAGUUACGCUAAUACCGCAUACGAUCUAUGGAUGAAAGUGGGGGAUCGCAAGACCUCAUGCUCCUGGAGCGGCCGAUAUCUGAUUAGCUAGUUGGUGAGGUAAAAGCUCACCAAGGCGACGAGCAGUAGCUGGUCUGAGAGGACGACCAGCCACACAGGAACUGGGACACGGUCCAGACUCCUACGGGAGGCAGCAGUGGGGAAUUUUGGAAAAUGGGCGCAAGCCUGAUCCAGCAAUGCCGCGUGAGUGAAGAAGGCCUUCGGGUUGUAAAGCUCUUUUGUCAGGGAAGAAACGGUGGGAGAUAAUAUCUCCUACUAAUGACGGUACCUGAAGAAUAAGCACCGGCUAACUACGUGCCAGCAGCCGCCGUAACAC
rnacentral:rRNA from 1 species